GACGAACGCUGGCGGCGUGCUUAACACAUGCAAGUCGAACGGAAAGGCCCUGCUUGCAGGGUACUCGAGUGGCGAACGGGUGAGUAACACGUGGGUGAUCUGCCCUGCACUUCGGGAUAAGCCUGGGAAACUGGGUCUAUUACCGGAUAGGAGCCAUUUUUAGUGUGAUGGUUGGAAAGUUUUUUCGGUGUAGGAUGAGCUCGCGGCCUAUCAGCUUGUUGGUGGGGUAAUGGCCUACCAAGGCGGCGACGGGUAGCCGGCCUGAGAGGGUGGACGGCCACAUUGGGACUGAGAGACGGCCCAGGCGCCGACGGGAGGCAGCAGUGGGGAAUAUUGCACAAUGGGCGCAAGGCUGGUGCAGCGACGCCGCGGGGGGGAUGACGGCCUUCGGGUUGUAAACUCCUUUCGCUAGGGACGAAGCUUUUUGUGACGGUACCUAGAUAAGAAGCACCGGCUAACUACGUG
rnacentral:rRNA from 1 species